rnacentral:lncRNA from 1 species
UGACUCAAAAUAUUGGUGUAUAAUGAAUUAAAAAAAAUAAAAUACAAACGAAAAUAAUAAUUUAUUACAUUCUAAACUAUAAUAAUAAAUUUAAACACUAUUAAAAAUAAAUAUUACAAAUAAUGCUUAAUUUUAUAAUAUAUAUGUAAUAGGGCCCAAUCGGCCUGGGUCCAAACACAAAAAAAGACAUAGUGCAAACCCCCUUAAAACAGGCCCAAUUAACAACCCAAUACAGUGGCCCAAAAAAAUAAUAAACCUAAUUACAGGCCAAAAAUAAUGGUCCCUAGUCCAACAACUAAAGAAAACCUAAAACCCUAAGCAGCCUUGCAUGUGCGCCGCUCCCACAGCCCCCAACCGCCGCAGGUUUCAGCCUCCAUGCGCACGUCUCGGAGCCUCCACGCGCGCCAAACUCUCCACGAACACCUGAAAAACGGACUCAAGGAGUCCAAAGAGAAAAAAACAGCAAGUAAUAUUGUUUUUUUUCCCUCGAUUUAUUUUCUUUUCGGCCUAUAAAAGGCCCUUUUAAAUCUGUAAAAGGGGAUAAACAGAGAAAGAGACAAAGAAAUCGAAAAGUAAAACUGAGAGUUCAAAGUUUUUUUAAGGUGAAUCGGUUCUUUAUAUGCUUCAUUCUUUUUAUUUUGUUUUUUUUAAAAAAAAAUAAUACAAAAAGGGUGAGGGGUUUACCUUCUAAGCUUCGCCGAUGAAGCCUACGUUCGCCGCGUUCAAAUCGGAGGUCCGGUGGAGGGCUGAGGCUUGAAGCGAAGGCGCGUUGCAGCGGCGACGCGAGGAUGCUAGGGUUUAAACCCUAGCAGAGCACCAGAGAUUUUUUUAUAUAUAUAUUUUUCAUUAUUUUUUUCCCUAUUCG